UCCCUCCUCUCACCGUGAUUUUGCCCGUCGACGACGCUCCCUCCUCCCUCCGUGAUUUCUCCAUCGAAAACCCUCCCUCCUCCCUCUGUCGACGCCAACGUCAUAAUUUAGCCCGUCGAAGACCCAUUACUUCUUCCUCUCUCGACACCGAGGCCAACGCAAAAAGAGUUUCUAUAUUGUGAAGAGAGGUCGAUGAUGUGGCAUUUUCGAUAAUUGGGAGGAAUGCAAAUCUCAAGUUGAUAAAUUCCCAAAUACCUCCUACAAAGGGUUUGAAACGUACGAAGAGGCUUUGCUUGAAUGGGAGAAGCACACCAUCGCUCGUGAUUCAGCAUUCAGCUCAAGGCAUGUCCAGACAGCAGUUCAAUUUCAACAACAAAUACUUCCGUCGGGGCAUAAUCUGGAUGAGGACAAGGCAAAACUUAGGGAAACUGCUAUUUCCUCCAUUUAAGCUUUUGUAUUAGGUUCGGUGUUUACAAUAUUAGUGUUUCUGGUAUGUAUUGUUGCCGUGUUUGUUGGUUCCUCCAUUGCAAAAAACAUGUGAUGUGAUUUGUGGAUGAUUCUUCUAUGUGAGGAUAAGCUUGUA